ensembl:lncRNA
UUUUUUUUUUUUUUUGCUUUUUAGGGCUGCACCUGUGGCAUGUAGAAGUUCCCAGGCUAGGGACUGAAUUAGACCCACAGGUGCCAGCCACAGCCACAGCCAAAGCAAAGCCAUAUCCGAGCCAUGUCUGCGACCUACACCACAGCUCAUGACCACGCUAGUUCCUUAAUCCACUGAGCGAGGCUAGGGACUGAACCUGGAUCCUCGUGGAUACUAGUCAGGUUUGUAACUGCUGGGCCACAAUGGAAACUCCAUAGACCCUCUUAAUCGAUCUCCAAUUUUCAGCUCAUAUAAUCCUUACCAUAACCCUACAAGGCGAGUUACAAAUGAUCCCAUUUCACAGAUGAGGAAAACUGAGAUUAAGGAGCUUGCCCAAGGCUGCACAGCUAGUAAGCGGUGGAGUCAGGAUUCAAACCCAGGAUGUCCUGAGCCGAUACUCUCACCACUGGGCUGUACCACCUCUGUGGCCUUGCCCCGCUACCUCACAGAAGCACAGAGCGAUCCAUCCCCAGACUCCUGUGGUCAGCGGCCUAGAGCCUUGGGCUGCCCAGUGCAGUAUUUGUACUUGACAAUUAUCUAUCAUCCGAGCGGUUGGGAACCAGUCCCAAAACUGAUCUUUGCCAAAGACAAUUAACUAAAAGCCACAUGAGCAUACGUUGUGGGGACUGUGGCAAAGGGGGGGGGGCGGGGGAGGAAGUGUGGCGGAGACAAUGAAAAGCAGAUGAUUUGGAAGAUAUUUUCUCCCCGGCACUACAAAACAAGCCCUCAAUCAUGCCACAAAGGGCUGGUAUUGUUGGAAGGGAAAUAUGUCAACGACAGCGAUCAAUCACGGGGCGGUUUAAAAAAAAAGGAAAAGGAAAAAAAAAAAGUCUUUUGAAAUUGUAAUUUGACCUAGAAAGGUUUUCUAGGUCACCUGAACUUGGCACUUGUGCCUCUAACCCCAAAGCCUGACACAGACAAAGUACCAAGUUUACUUCCUUCUGUCAGGCUCAGAAAACACAAGAAAUGAUAUCUGUAAACACUGCCACUAUAUUUUUUUGGCACUGCAUUAAAAUCUGCCCUUGGACUCGGGAACUGAGAGAAUACCGGAGCAGAGCAGUUUGGGAAGCCCAGGCUUCGCGCUUAGCUGCUCCGUGGCCAUGUGGCCAUGUGGCCGGGGCUGGGACCUCACCUCUCUGAUUCUCAGGUGCUUCCCCUAUAAAAUGGGGAUGGGACUGGCAGGGCAACAUGUGCUGCCUGGCCGUGUGCAAGCACACCGAGGUGUCCUGGAAAGGCUGGAUGCCCCUUGCCACCACCUGCCACCCCCCGCCCCUGCCCCCCGCCAUGCCUAGGCUGAGGGCCACCCCCUCUGAUUUGGACUUUGGAACCCCUGUGCCCCAGGUAUGGGCUCUCCCUGGGGGCCUUGCAGCAUAGAAGCCAGGAGGUAAGUUGGGACCUCUGUCCUAACAGGUCUUUUCUCCCCAGAAAACAGAGAGAGAGAGAGCAAGACCCAUGCCAAGGCACAGCAUGUGCCAAUGCACUGCUUCUAAUUCAUCUUAACUAUCGAGCCUCCCAGUUUAAGAUAGAUUAUAGAACCUCAAGGAAGACAGGUUCUCAAGACGCCUUCUCAUCCCACUGGGGACACUGAGACCAGGACUGGUAGACAGCCCCCAGCGACUGGCAAUAGCAUGCCAACGGUUACAGCCACCACAUUCCCGGGUCCCCUGAGCCUGUGCUUCCAGAAGAUGGCAAAGUUAGCCUGUUACCCUCAAAAUCCCAGGUGAUGGGGAGCACCCAUGCCUUCCCUAAUCCCUGACCUGAGAACCUAUGAUGUACCACCCAGCCGUGUGUCAGGCUCUGAGGGUACCGAGGACACAGAAACAAUCCCUAGGGAAGCUUGGGGUCUGGAGAUAGGACAGGCACCAGCACUGAUGACAGCCAGGGUGACGAGGCAUUUGGUAGAGAUAAGCCAGGUGAGACAGAUGAUGCCCACCUGCCAGGAAGAAACACCAGAGUGAUCAGAGAGCUGGGAGGGUGAGAAAACUGGUGUGUGUGUGUGUGUUUGUAUGUGUGUGUGUGUGUAGGUGUGAGGGUGGCUAUGGUGCACAGUGCACAGGCAGAAUCAACACUUACUGUAAAAAAACAAAACAAAACAAAACAAAAAACAUGGCAAGAGUCUAAAGCAGUAUUCCUAAGAGAAGAGUAAUGGAAGGAUGCCAUCUAGUUCAGCCAGAGAUAAAACAUUCUGUGAAGCAACAGUUAAAUAAUUAAAAGAGGGGCGUAGCAAUGUCAAAGGAGAACCUUCAAUCAGCGACACAGAAGAGAAGGUGCGGAAUUCGACCCACCUCUGCAUGGAAACACAUCACGGUUAAGGAGGGGCACUUGGUCUAGGCCAGGCACCGCGUGAUGUGCUUUUCUUAUGAUGUUUCACUCAGUCUAAGCCACGAGCCUCCGAGUCUAGGAGCCUGCGAGGGAGAUGCCAUGACUCCCUUUUACAAAGAAGAAAAGCUUGAUGGGAGCAGUGUGCUUGCUCCAGCGUCACGAGCCUAGAAAGUGGCCAAGCCAGAAUCUUACCUCUGCAAGUUCAUGCUCUUAACAGCUCUUCUAUUUUGUCUCUUCUCUUGGAAACAAAGAGACAAAGACCAAUUAAUUCCUAAACAGAAUAGGGAUAACAGGGUUAUCCUGUUCCUAUUUAGGAACACUGGAGUAGAUACCCAUUGCAAGCCACCUACCAAAAUGUACUCUAAACAGAUUCAAGAGUUAAGUAGAAAAAAGUCAUGUUAUAGGGAGAUACCAGAAAACAGAACAGAAUGUUUAUCAGAUCUCUGGCGGCGGGAUAACUUCCUCAGCCCUUGAAGCAAUCACGGAGGAAGGGAGAUUGACAGAUUCAAAUAUAUAAGCAUUAAUAUCUUCUGUAGAAGGAAGCAUAAUAAAACCAAAAUGAAAAGGACAUCAGACUAAGAAAAUAUCAGCACCAACUAUGAGACAGUUAAUAUACACAAUGCAGAAAUGGCUCAGUCAAAUUAAAGAGACAGCAAGAUGUUGACAGACAAAAAGACACAAACAGGAGGCAAUCCACCAAGAAACAAAUACCUAGGAAAAAAGCGUAUGCCUGAUUCUACGAAAAUGGAGAAAUGUACAUGAAACACACCUACUGUAACGAAACUAGGAUACUUCCCGCCAUUGCUGACAGUUUCCAGCCUAGUGGAAAGGAAUGUGGCAGCCACCCCCCACCCCCAGGCGGAAAGGAUGGAUGAGGACCCAAGACCCCUGCCUGCUGCCUCUAGAGUCACCCCCCUCACCACGCUGCCCAUUUGUCUCAAGUCCACCCAGGCUUGCUUAAGACCGCCUUCUGUUCCCAGUGCUGGGGAUGGUACCCAUGAUGGAGUGCAGGCAGUCUUUGUCCUCCUGAGCUUCCGGUAUAGCGAGGGAGACAGGACCAGGAAUGCUAAACGGGUGACAAGUUGUACUGGGAGCCAGAGUUCAUGGGGGCCUGGAGACUUUACAGAGGAGGCAGCUUCUAAGCCCAUCUACCUGCAGACUGAGCAGAACUGGCCAGAUGGAAGGGAGAGGGUGGUGGGAACAGCAUUUGCCAAGGCUGGGAGGCUAGAGAGGAAGGGCCAUGUACUAGGGGAGGCAGUGAGAGCUGAGAUGCAAAGGCAAAGAAGACCUUAUCUCCGUGGGGCUUUGAGGGCUACACUGGAGUGGGGAGUUUGCUGGGAGCUGGUGGAGUGGGGGUUGAGACUGAAGCCUGGAUGGUCAGCUGCAUUUUAGAAACGGGCCUCUGGCUUCGGGUGGAGAACGGAUUGGGGAAGGUGAGAAUGGAUGGGGGAAGGUAAGACCGGAGCCUGUCUUGGACGCCAGGCAGAAGCUUCUCUGAUGAUCCUGGAGUGGAGCCUGGAAGCGGGACUCUGAGCAGAGCUUGGCUGGGAAGAAACACUCACUAAAGCAAUAAAAAGCAAAAGAGUGUGACAGUGAUUCAAAAAUAGAAAUUUAUACUGAUGGCUAGAAAGGGAAGCGGGGUUGAAGCCAGAAUAAAACCACGACAGUCUCUAGUGUAUUUUCCAAAAUUCAGAACUUAGAGUCUCAGAGAUGAAUGAAAACUGCCAAGAGCAAGGAAUCACCCAGGAGUCAGAAAGGGGGUGACUCACAUAGUUUGCAAACUCUAAUUUCCUCUCCUUGGUCACACACACUUCCUUCAGAUUUCUUUUUCUGAUGAUUCAUAAGAAAACAAAUUUCCCCUUUUAAAUUCAAACCAGAAAUGCUUGAGCACCUGAACUCUCCUGCCCAUGGCUUAACCUCU